UAGGGAAUCUUCGGCAAUGGGGGGAACCCUGACCGAGCAACGCCGCGUGAGUGAAGAAGGAUUUCGGUUCGUAAAACUCUGUUGUUAGAGAAGAACAGCGCAUAGAGUAACUGUUAUGCGUGUGACGGUAUCUAACCAGAAAGCCACGGCUAACUACGUGCCAGCAGCCGCGGUAAUACGUAGGUGGCAAGCGUUGUCCGGAUUUAUUGGGCGUAAAGCGAGCGCAGGCGGUCAAUUAAGUCUGAUGUGAAAGCCCCCGGCUCAACCGGGGAGGGUCAUUUGAACCUGGUUUAGUUGAGUGCAGAAGAGGAGAGUGUAAUUCCAUGUGUAGCGGUGAAAUGCGUAAUUAUAUGGAGGAACACCAGUGGCGAAGUCGACUCUCUGGUCUGUAACUGACGCUGAGGCUCGAAAGCGUGGGUAGCAAACAGG
rnacentral:rRNA from 1 species